rnacentral:rRNA from 1 species
GAUGAACGCUGGCGGCAUGCCUUACACAUGCAAGUCGAACGGUAGAGUAGCAAUACUUGAGAGUGGCGAACGGGUGAGUAAUAUAUCGGAACGUGCCCAGUCGUGGGGGAUAACGUAGCGAAAGCUACGCUAAUACCGCAUACGAUCUAUGGAUGAAAGCGGGGGAUCGCAAGACCUCGCGCGAUUGGAGCGGCCGAUAUCAGAUUAGGUAGUUGGUGAGGUAAAGGACUCACCAAGCCGACGAUCUGUAGCUGGUCUGAGAGGACGACCAGCCACACUGGGACUGAGACACGGCCCAGACUCCUACGGGAGGCAGCAGUGGGGAAUUUUGGACAAUGGGCGCAAGCCUGAUCCAGCAAUGCCGCGUGCAGGAUGAAGGCC